UCUCUGGUAGUCCAGUAACUAAGACUCCACACUCCUGAUGCAGGGGCCCAGGUUCUAUCCCUGGUCAGGGAA
rnacentral:tRNA from 1 species